rnacentral:tRNA from 1 species
GGAGAGGUGACCGAGAGGCCGAUGGUGCCCGCCUGCUAAGCGAGUGAUGGGGUUAAACUCAUCCGAGAGUUCGAAUCUCUCCCUCUCCGCCA